rnacentral:rRNA from 1 species
CAGAGUACUUUUGAAACACCGGUUUCCGUAUAUUCACCGAAUUUAAGCAACCUCGAGCCUGGUUAGUAACUAGAUGGGUGACUGCUUGGGGAAUUCCAGGUGCUGUAA